ensembl:lncRNA
CUUGUUCUUGUCUCUAACAGGAUAAAGUGGGAGGUUGGAAAAGAGGGACAUUAGUAGAGGGUUGGAAGGAUGAUGUAGCUUGCUGCUUCUGUUCUCCUGGAGGAUGUCAAAGACAUGGACAUCAAGCAUAUUAUUCCUAGUGUGGAGGAUUUUUACUUAAAAUAGAAAAGAUAAAGCUUCAAUCAAACACUUUGUAUCCUGGCAGCCUGCUAAGCUAUGGGUGAACUUUUUCUGAGUUUAAAGUGUGGUCUUCGGCAGAGAACUGCUUGCGCAGAGCUCGGCUGGUUCUCAAACUUGACCAGUUUGAUUACAUUUAAACUACAUUUAGACGGAUGCAUCCCCUGGGUAAAACUUCUUCCCUGAUUAGUCUGGAUGGGAAGCAUCUGUUUUCCCCCUGGUAAUAAGCAUUCUUAAAACCAAAGCACAAAGACAGGCAUUGGCCAUGUCACACGUCACACGCUGAAGACCAGUGAGCGACUCUUCAGAAGUGGAACUUUAAUUUGGACGGACUGACCCAAAGACAUUAGCACAAGAACAUGAGAAAAAGCCCCAGAGCAUCAUACCUCAAACCAGAGCGAUCUCAAGCUGUAGCAAUGCUUUUAUCCUUAGUGAUGGGGAAUGUGUCGACGCUGUGGUAAAUGUCACAAUUCUACAUGCACAAAAUAUCUAAAACCAGCGGUAUUACGAGCUGACAGUUAUUGCCAC